rnacentral:rRNA from 1 species
GAAUUCAACUCCUACGGGAGGCAGCAGUGGGGAAUUUUGGGCAAUGGGCGCAAGCCUGAUCCAGCCAUGCCGCGUGGGUGAAGAAGGCCUUCGGGUUGUAAAGCCCUUCUGUCCGGGAAGAAAUCGUCUGGGCUAAUACCCCGGGCGGAUGACGGUACCGGAAGAAUAAGCACCGGCUAACUUCGUGCCAGCAGCCGCGGUAAUACGAAGGGUGCAAGCGUUACUCGGAAUUACUGGGCGUAAAGCGUGCGUAGGCGGUUCGUUAAGUCCGAUGUGAAAGCCCUGGGCUCAACCCGGGAACUGCAUUGGAAACUGGCGGGCUGGAGUGCGGUAGAGGGUGGCGGAAUUCCCGGUGCAGCAGUGAAAUGCGUAGAUAUCGGGGGGAACACCCGUGGCGAAAGCGGCCACCUGGACCAGCACUGACGCUGAGGCACGAAAGCGUGGGGAGCAAACAGGAUUAGAAACCCUAGUAGUCCAGGCGUU